rnacentral:piRNA from 1 species
UGGAACCACCAACUCAAAAUGUGGGCUGGAU